GCAACAGUGAAAAUAAAAAAUGAAUAAAUACAAAUGCAGUGUCUUCAGACCUCGAAUAAUGCAAAGAAACAAAGUUCAAAUUAAUUUUAAAAACCACAGUACUAAUGUUUUAACUUCAGAAAUCAACAUUUGCUGGGAUAACCCUGGUUUUCAAACACAUCGUUGAAUGCUCUCCACCAGUCUUUUACAUUACUACUGGUUGACUUUAUGCCCCUCGUGGCACAAAAAUACAAGCAGCUCCACUUUAUUUCAUGGUUUAUGACCAUCCACCUUCCUCUUGAUCACAUUCCAAAGGUUUUCAAUUGGGUUGAGGUCUGGAGAUUGGGUUGGCCAUGACAGGGUCUUGAUCUGGUGGUCCUCC